AAAUAUUUAUAUAUAUACAUAUCAGUUGGCAAUAUAUUUUAUACUUGCAGUACACUAAUGAAUGUCAUUUGCAUGUCAUACCUUCCUCAUCACUUGAUGUAUGGAGAUCUUCAUCAAAGACAACAUCCAUAUAAGGAGAAUAAACAUCAAAAUCCUCCUCGUCUGCAUGGACAGAAAAGCAGAAGGGAGGAUGGGAAAUGUGAGUAAGACCAUAACUUGCUUUGCAUUAAGAUUUUGAUUCCAUACCUGGCUCCAUGUUUAGAUGACAAAUUUCUUGUGCACUCCGGCCAUUGGAGAGUUCAACUGCUUGCAUGGCAGGGUCUGGAUGUUCAUCUUCAUGAGCACCAAAACAUUGGUUGUCAGGAAGCUCUUCAUCUUCAUAUUGGAAGGCAUCUUCUCCUUGCACAGCAGGAUCCAGGUUAAGGUCAGGGAUCCCAUCACCUUCAUCUUGUAGCACUUCUUGCACACCAAGAUCAAGGUUGAGAUCAGGAAUCUCAUAUUCCUCUUCUUCCAUGGAUUAGUUGAGGGUCUCUCUUGGUGUAAUGCUGGAGUAGGUUGCUAAUAUGAGUGUAAUAUGAGAGCUUUGGUUUUUAGACCUGUGAGUGAGAGCAAGGGAGUGAAAAUGGCGGGUUGGUUCUGAGCAUCAAGUUUAAAUUUUGAACAGCUAAUGCCUGUGUAUUUGUGGCGCUAAUGUGUAGUGCGUGUGAAUUUUGGGCAGCAAAGAGGUGAGUGGGAUUUAAUUGACUCUUGUCAA